rnacentral:rRNA from 1 species
AUUGAACGCUGGCGGCAGGCUUAACACAUGCAAGUCGAACGAGCGGCGGACGGGUGAGUAAUGUCUGGGAAACUGCCUGGUGGAGGGGGAUAACUACUGGAAACGGUAGCUAAUACCGCAUACCAUCAGAUGUGCCCAGAUGGGAUUAGAUAGUAGGGGGGGUAAUGGCUCACCGAGGCGACGAUCCGUAGCUGGUCUGAGAGGAUGACCAGCCACACUGGAACUGAGACACGGUCCAGACUCCUACGGGAGGCAGCAGUGGGGAAUAUGGCACAAUGGGCGCAAGCCUGAUGCAGCCAUGCCGCGUGUGUGAAGAAGGCCUUCGGGUUGUAAAGCACUUUCAGCGAGGAGGCGUUACCCGCAGAAGAAGCACCGGCUAACUCCGUGCCAGCAGCCGCGGUAAUAC